rnacentral:rRNA from 1 species
CCUACGGGUGUCAGCAGUGGGGGAUAUUGCACAAUGGGGGAAACCCUGAUGCAGCGACGCCGCGUGUGGGACGACGGUCCUUUGGCUUGUAAACUACUGUCUCCAGGGCCGAAGAUGACGGUACCUGGGGAGGAAGCUCCAGCUAACUACGUGCCAGCAGCCGCGUUAAUACGUAGGGAGCGGGUGUUGCCCGGAAUUACUGUGUGUACAGGGAGCGUUGGCGGGGAUGCAAGCUGGGUGUCAAAACUACCGGCUCAAGGGGUAGUCGCACCCAAAACUGCAGCUCUGGAGUGAAGUAGAGGCAGGCGGAAUUCCUGGUGUAGCGGUGAAAUGCGUAGAUAUUAGGAAGAACACCAAUUGCGAAGGCAGCCUGCGGGGCUUUUACUGACGCUGAGGCUCGAAAGUGUGGGUAGCAAACAGGAUUAGAUACCCGAGUAGUC